CACAUGACCAUCACACAUAGCCUUAUUGUCUUAAGGCAACCAGGCAUGUUUGAUGCCUGGUUAUUAUCAUUUAAUCUGUGUGCAGUGCAGCAAUAUGGCAUUAUAGCAAUAUAGCAAGAAACUGAAACUGAUAAUAGGUCUGGAUAAUGUGGCUUACCAAAAGUGGCUUUGCAAGACCAUGCUGGAGUUUUGAGGCAUUGUGGCUGGGGGACUGUGGGCUCCAGAAAACACUGUUCGGGACUCCCCAUCACCUGGCAGUUUCUUUCUGCCUGGUUCACCAUGACCAGCACUCAGACUGUCUCUCAGAGUGUGAUUAAGGGUGCGGGUCAUCGCCACAGGAAAGAUGCUUUCUUCAGUGACCUGGAAAUGCUGGAGGCAUGGACUGGAUGGUUGGGACCGAGCCCCUUCCUCACCUGCCAAGCCUCACUCAACACAGAUCCUGGGAGGCAGGAGGGGGACUCCAGCGGAGGGGAGGUGGGACGACGUCCAGCUCCUGAGGCCUCCUCCAGAUGGCACGAGGCUAAACCUGGAUGCGUCCGCUGGCUGAGGCAGCAUAAAUCAGCCGGGAUGAAAUCCCUCCUCGUUGGUGAAGAUACCUGCCACAUUCAGAAUAGUAAACCAGACGCGUUAUUGGCAGCUCCGCAGUGCUAAGGGGAGGCCGGCUCCAGCAUGACAUCAGCCCACUGCUUGACCCAAACCUACUAUUUCACCAGAGAGCCUUGCGCCGCCUGCUUUCCAGAGUACGGAAGAUGCACACGGGGGACAGGGAAGAAGGCAUAAAUAAGACACAGACUGGAGACUUUUUGAUGUGUUUAGCACAUUUUUGUGACUUCCUUUAAUACCA
rnacentral:lncRNA from 1 species